GCCCCGGUAAACGGCGGCCGUAACUAUAACGGUCCUAAGGUAGCGAAAUUCCUUGUCGGGUAAGUUCCGACCUGCACGAAUGGCGUAAUGAUGGCCAGGCUGUCUCCACCCGAGACUCAGUGAAAUUGAACUCGCUGUGAAGAUGCAGUGUACCCGCGGCAAGACGGAAAGACCCCGUGAACCUUUACUAUAGCUUGACACUGAACAUUGAGCCUUGAUGUGUAGGAUAGGUGGGAGGCUUUGAAGUGUGGACGCCAGUCUGCAUGGAGCCGACCUUGAAAUACCACCCUUUAAUGUUUGAUGUUCUAACGUUGGCCCGUAAUCCGGGUUGCGGACAGUGUCUGGUGGGUAGUUUGACUGGGGCGGUCUCCUCCUAAAGAGUAACGGAGGAGCACGAAGGUUGGCUAAUCCUGGUCGGACAUCAGGAGGUUAGUGCAAUGGCAUAAGCCAGCUUGACUGCGAGCGUGACGGCGCGAGCAGGUGCGAAAGCAGGUCAUAGUGAUCCGGUGGUUCUGAAUGGAAGGGCCAUCGCUCAACGGAUAAAAGGUACUCCGGGGAUAACAGGCUGAUACCGCCCAAGAGUUCAUAUCGACGGCGGUGUUUGGCACCUCGAUGUCGGCUCAUCACAUCCUGGGGCUGAAGUAGGUCCCAAGGGUAUGGCUGUUCGCCAUUUAAAGUGGUACGCGAGCUGGGUUUAGAACGUCGUGAGACAGUUCGGUCCCUAUCUGCCGUGGGCGCUGGAGAACUGAGGGGGGCUGCUCCUAGUACGAGAGGACCGGAGUGGACGCAUCACUGGUGUUCGGGUUGUCAUGCCAAUGGCACUGCCCGGUAGCUAAAUGCGGAAGAGAUAAGUGCUGAAAGCAUCUAAGCACGAAACUUGCCCCGAGAUGAGUUCUCCCUGACUCCUUGAGGGUCCUGAAGGAACGUUGAAGACGACGACGUUGAU
rnacentral:rRNA from 1 species